UUUUUUUCUUGCUUUAGACUAUCCAAGAUCAUGCCCCCCUUCAUGAUUGAGAAAUAAAAUUUUCACGUGUAAACCUGUGGCGGCUAUCCUAUGUGUAAGCAUGUGGCAGCUAUCCUACAUGUAAGCCUGUGAAGGCUAUUCCAUGAGUAAGCUUGUAGAGGCUACCCCAUGCAUAAGCCCAUUGAGGCUAUCUACAUGACGAGGUUAUUCCAAACCAUUUUUUAUCUAUCUGAUUAUUAUAGAUUAUUCUUGUCAAAUUGAUUCCAAAUAAUUAGUGUACUCCUUGCAAUUUCAAGAUAAAUAGAAUUAUAGUUCAUAAUAUUUUCAAUAGUGGAUCCCCGCAUAAAUAUGCUCAUACCAAAAAUCAUAUAAAACCAUAUCAUCUCAUGCAAAAUCGAAUCCAUCGAUACAAAUCUCAUGAUAUAGAUCCAGUGGUACAAAUCAAUAAACAUAUAUAUACUAGUGAUCGAGUACAUGAAUUCUUACCUCUAUUGAGGACAGACACAACACAGUAGGUAUAAUCCCACAUCGUGAUCUACAAUCUAGGAUGUUGUGUACCUUGCUCAAAGCCUUCUUGCGUAGAUGACUUCUCCCCUACAUAAUCAAAUCCAAUCAUCAAAAGAAAAUCAUUGUG
rnacentral:lncRNA from 1 species